CCUACGGGAGGCAGCAGUGAGGAAUAUUGGUCAAUGGGCGCGAGCCUGAACCAGCCAAGUAGCGUGAAGGAUGACUGCCCUACGGGUUGUAAACUUCUUUUAUAAAGGAGUAAAGUGAGGCACGUGUGCUUUUUUGCAUGUACUUUAUGAAUAAGGAUCGGCUAACUCCGUGCCAGCAGCCGCGGUAAUACGGAGGAUCCGAGCGUUAUCCGGAUUUAUUGGGUUUAAAGGGGGCGUAGAUGGGUUGUUAAGGCAGGUGUGAAAGUUUGCGGCUCAACCGUAAGAUUGCAAUUGAUACUGGAAGUCUUGAGUGCGGUAGAGGUAGGCGGAAUUCGUGGUGUAGCGGUGAAAUGCGUAGAUUUCACGAAGAACUCCGAUUGCGAAGGCAGCUUACUGAACUGCCACUGACAUUGAUGCUCGAAAGUGUGGGGAUCGAACAGGAUUAGAUACCCUUGUAGUC
rnacentral:rRNA from 1 species